rnacentral:rRNA from 1 species
GACGAACGCUGGCGGCGUGCCUAAUACAUGCAAGUCGAACGAGAGCGACCGGUGCUUGCACUGGUCAAUCUAGUGGCGAACGGGUGAGUAACACGUGGGUAACCUGCCCAUCAGAGGGGGAUAACAUCAGGAAACGGAUGCUAAAACCGCAUAGGUCUUAGAACCGCAUGGUUUGAAGAGGAAAAGAGGAGCAGGCUUCUGCUGAUGGAUGGACCCGCGGUGCAUUAGCUAGUUGGUGAGGUAACGGCUCACCAAGGCCGUGAUGCAUAGCUGACCUGAGAGGGUGAUCGGCCACAUUGGGACUGAGACACGGCCCAAACUCCUACGGGAGGCAGCAGUAGGGAAUCUUCCGCAAUGGACGCAAGUCUGACGGAGCAACGCCGCGUGAGUGAAGAAGGUCUUCGGAUCGUAAAGCUCUGUUGUUUGAGAAGAACAGGUGCUAGAGUAACUGUUAGCGCCUUGACGGUAUCUAACCAGAAAGCCACGGCUAACUACGUG